UUUUUUUUUCGUGUCAUUGUUUCAAAUGGAAAUUUAAACCUCUUAAUAAUGGUAACUGUUGUUUACUUGAAACUAUGUGUACGCUUAGGUGAACAAAGUUGAGCUAUAAAUUUGCCAUGUUUCAGAAUACUAUAUGGUUUACUACGUUGUCCCGGCAGUCUUUCUUCCUCAAAAGGAAGAAAAAAUUCCAGGAUUCUGCACAAAUUAUUUUGGUGUCUAGAUGUGAUCUGAUCAUCGGAAUGCAUGAACUGUACUGAACUCUUCCAAGGACACAUCUGAAUGUUGCUUAUCCUGAUCUAAUUAUCUGCAACCCACAGGUUAUGGAGCUGCACUCGCAGUGGUGGCAGGAACGACCUUGCUCGGGCCACCUUCUCUUCGAUCACCCCACAUAACCAGGAGGCGUCCCUCCGUGGUUUCGAUGGCUCACCGCCACAAUGCUAAGAUGCCAGGCCUACGAGUAGCACACGCUCCCGCGGUUACUCCUGGCCUCGGCUUCAGCUCAACAGAGCAAGGUUUGAGGAUGUCAUCGUCGAGAGGGAAAAAGGAUGAUCGUUUCGUCACCAGAGCAAUGCUUGAGGGUUUCACUGAGCACGCGUUAGAUGUCAUGGCCGUCGCACAAGAGGAGACACGGCUUUUUUUAGGCCAGCACAACCUUGCAAAUGUAGCACGUAUCGUCGCACACACCAUUGUUAUAGUUGCUGUGGGCUAUGCGCUUGAUGAGGUAAAUAAAGUGCAUUUAGAUUUUAGAGUCAUACUUAUGUAUGUCUAGCUGUGAGUUCAUGCUUCAUUUGUGUCGUAAAAAUUUGUCUUGCAUCAUAGAUCUUCCGUAGGAUUUUUCAAGCCACGCGUGGUCAAGCCGUUGGUGCUCGUGUUGUGGCAGGAAGCAGUGAAGCUAAGAUGCCGACACUCGAGCAGUAUGGGACGAAUCUUACAAAAUUAGCACAGGAGGUACUAUAAACUAGAUUGAAUAUGCAUUGCAAAUUAAUUUCAACAGAAAAUAAGAAUGUUGAAAGAGAAGGCAUGCCAUUUUAAUACAGGGGAAGCUAGCACCUGUUGUCGGAAGGGAAAAGGAGAUCGAGAGCGUCACGCAAAUCUUGGGCAAAAUGAAGAAGAAGAAUCCCUGUCUGAUUGGAGAGCCCGGUGUUGGGAAAACGGUGAUAGUCGAAGGGCUUGCGCUACGUAUCACUGCCGGGGAUGUUCCUGAAACAAUUCAAGGGAAAACGGUUCGUGUGCUCGCUCCGAUGACAUCUCUUCUCUUUUGGCUAAAAUUUUGACCUGUCUCGUACUUAAAAUGUUCUGAACUUGAAUUUCUGUAGUUUUAGCAGUCCUGCACGUUUUGUGUGAGAUGAAGACUUAGUUAGCUGCUCUUGUCAUAAAUAUGAACUAUCAUGGCAGGUUAUCAGCCUUGACAUGGGGCCCCUAGUUGCCGGUACCAAAUACCGUGGAGAGUUCGAAGAAAGGCUGAAGAACUUGAUGGAAGAACUCAAACAGAAUGGCGAGGUAAUACUGUUCCUCGAUGAAGUUCACACCCUGGUAGGAGCAGGAGCAGCAGAAGGUGCUAUCGACGCGGCCAACAUUCUGAAGCCAGCACUGGCAAGAGGUGAAAUUCAGGUACACCCAAAAAUGUUCUACUCCAUAGUUGGUCAAUUGGUCAUGCCGACAUCGUCGCUGAUGAAAAAUUGCUCGCUGUAACUUUGGUUGUCAGUGUAUCGGAGCCACCACAUUCGACGAAUACGCCAAGCACAUUGAGAAAGACCCUGCGCUGGAGAGGCGGUUCCAGCCUGUGAAAGUUCUAGAGCCCACGGUUGAUGAAGCCAUAGGAAUUCUCAGAGGGCUCCAGGAGGGGUACGAGGACCACCACAAACUCCGAUAUACCGACGAGGCGCUGAUCGCCGCUGCUCGGCUCUCGCAGAGAUACAUCAGGUUUCGAUGGUUUCAGUAUAUUUCCGUUCCGUUUGGUCUUUUUUGAACACUGCCUUCUGUUUGCAGUAACCGUUUCCUCCCGGAUAAAGCCAUCGACUUGAUUGAUGAAGCGGGAUCUCAAGUCAGGAUACGUCAUGGCAAGGUAAACAUUUUCUCUCAUAUGAAUAUAUGAUGCACCUAAAUGUAAUCCUGCACGCAGUUUAGUUUUCAUGAUCCGAGAAUCUGAAUUUCAAACUAUACUGACACUGACAGGUACCUGAGGAAGUCAAGGAUCUCUGCAAGAAGCGCGAGGAAAUCAUCAAACGGAGGGACGACGCCGUCCGUUGCCAGAAUUUCGAGCUGGUAAUCGCCUUCUCUUCCGAUCAAUCAAUCAAUCAGCCAAAAGAGCUUAUUUCUUGUUAUAUGAUUCCACAUUUCGUUUACAAUUUCCAUUAUGAUGCUAUAUGAUUACAGGCAAAAGAGCUUCACAUGGAAGAGCUGGAGCUCACGUCCCAGAUCACGUCUGCCGUGCCGAUGGUCACCGAGGCGGACAUCCAGCGCGUCGUCUCCUCGUCGACCGGCAUCCCCGUGGAGAGGGUCUCCGCGGACGAGUCGGCCGGGCUGCUAACGAUGGAGGAGACCCUGCACCGGCGCGUCGUCGGCCAGGACGAGGCCGUGAAGGCCGUGAGCCGCGCCAUGCGCCGCUCGCGCGCCGGCCUUCGCGACCCCAGCCGGCCGAUCGCCAGCUUCGUGUUCGCCGGCCCGACGGGCGUGGGCAAGACGGAGGUCGUCAAGGCGCUCGCCGCGUGCAACUACGGCUCGGAGGAGGCCAUGGUCCGGCUGGACAUGAGCGAGUUCAGCGAGCGGCACGCGGUGGCGAAGCUGGUCGGGGCGUCCCCGGGCUACGUCGGGUACGAGGAGGGCGGGCAGCUGACGGAGGCGGUGCGCCGGCGGCCGUACGCGGUGGUGCUGUUCGACGAGGUCGAGAAGGCGCACAGGGACGUGUACAACAUGCUGCUGCAGGUGCUGGAGGACGGCAGGCUGACGGACGGCAAGGGGAGGACGGUGGACUUCCGGAACACCAUCAUCAUCAUGACGUCUAACGCCGGCAGCGGCGGCGACGGGGAGAUGACGGGCGUGAUGGUCGAGAAGGGGAUGAAGGAGAAGCACGGGUUCCCGCCGGAGUUCCUGAACCGGCUCGACGAGGUGAUCGUGUUCCGGGAGCUCACCAAGCCGGAGAUGAAGGAGAUCGCCUCCAAGAUGCUGGAGGAGGUCGUCCGCCGGAUGAGGGAGAAGGGGAUGGAGCUGCGGGUGACGGAGAGGUUCAAGGAGCUGGUGGCCGAGGAAGGCUACGACCGCAGCUACGGCGCGCGGCCGCUGCGGAGGGCCAUCACCAGGCUGCUGGAGGACAAGCUCGUGGACAUGAUGCUCGCCGGGGAGGCCAAGGAAGGGGAUUCGCUGACUCUAGAUGCUGACGCCGAAGGGAACGUGGUCGUCCACAACCGACGGGCUGGCUGACCAGUGUGUUUCCACUAUGUAAGACAAUAAGUUCUGGGGAACCAGCACACCCCUUUAGGGGUGACUUAUCUCAUUAUAUAUAAUGGUUGUGUUACAAUAUGUACCAUAUACGUACAUAGGUACAAAAGCUAUACAUAGUCUAACACCCUCCCUCAAUCUUAGCCACUUUCUAAAGAACUGAGAAGGGUAAGAUUGCGCCUACAAGCCUUAAACUGUGGCAGCGGUAAAGGCUUAGUGAAGAUGUCUGCAAGUUGAUCCUUAGAUGAGAUAAACUUGAUCUGGAGUUGCUUCUGUGAUACACGUUCCCGUACAAAGUGAUAGUCAACUUCAAUGUGUUUCAUUCGGGCAUGAAAUACUGGAUUUGCAGAAAGGUAUGUAGCACCGAUGUUAUCACACCAAAGAAUAGGAGGCUGUGGUUGAGACAAACCCAACUCCUUAAGCAAAGACUGCACCCAAAUAAUCUCUGCAGUAGCAUUAGCCACAGCCUUGUACUCAGCUUCAGUACUGCUACGUGACAUAGUAGCCUGUUUCCGAGCACUCCAGGCGAUCAAAUUAGAGCCAAAGAAUACUGCAUAACCCCCCGUGAAUCGCCUGUCAUCUGGGCUACCAGCCCAAUCUGCAUCAGAGAAGGCCGAAAGGACCUGAGAGGAAGUCGGCCGAAUAUGCAUACCAAAUGUCAGGGUGAACUGAACAUAACGAAGAAUGCAUUUAACAGCAGCCCAAUGAGUAUCUCUGGGAGCCUGAAGAUACUGACAAACCCUGUUAACAGCAUAAGAGAUAUCUGGUCUCGUGAUCGUCAAGUACUGAAGUCCACCAACAAUGCUCCUGUACUCUGUGGCAUCCGCAGGAGACAAAAGCUCACCAUUAACAGCUGUUAUCUUGUCGGUAGACGACAUGGGUGUGGUGGUCGGUUUGCACUUCAGCAUGCCAGCUCUCUGUAACAACUCCAAGGAGUACUUCUUCUGCGUAAGGACAAGACCAGUAGCACGAGAAGUGACCUCAACUCCAAGAAAGUAGUGAAGCUUCCCAAGAUUUUUGACCGCAAAAUCAGCACCAAGAGAGCAGACAAGAGCAUCAGCAGCAUACUGAGAAGAGCUGACAAGGAUAAUAUCAUCGACAUAUACCAAAAGAUACAUAGUGACUUCUGGCUUCUGUAGAAGAAAUAACGAAGUGUCAGCAGUAGACGGCACAAACCCAUGAGCACGAAGGGCAGAGGCAAGGCGGGCAUGCCAGGCACGAGGAGCUUGCUUCAAACCAUAUAGUGCUUUGGAAAGACGACAGAUAUAGUCAGGACGAUCAGGAUCAGAGAAACCAGGCGGUUGUUUCAUAUAAACCUCUUCCUCCAAAAAUCCAUGUAGAAAAGCAUUCUGCACAUCAAGUUGACGAAGUGACCAACCACGAGAAACAGCAAUGGAGAGAAGAAGCCGAAUAGUGGUAGGCUUGACGACAGGACUGAAGGUGUCCUCAUAGUCAAGACCAUGACGCUGCCGAAAACCGCGAGCAACAAGUCGCACUUUGUAACGCUCAAUAGAUCCAUCCGAAUGCUUCUUCACUUUGAAUACCCAUUUUGAGUCAAUAACAUUUACCCGUGGUGGUGGAGGAACGAGAGUCCAUGUCUUGUUACGAAGAAGAGCAUGAAACUCCUGCUCCAUAGCCUCUCGCCAAUGUGGAAUGCGCAGGGCAGCCUGAUAUGAGCGAGGCUCAGAAGAUGGAUCCGCAACAGCAGCAGCCAAACAAGCAGCCAACCAAGCAACCGUACCAUCCUUACGUUCCUUAGGUUUGAAAAUGCCACUGCGACUGCGUGUAUGUGGUCGGGACAUAGGAACCACCGAGGUCGACGGAGCAGCCUGCAACGGGCUGGAGGACGGCGACGUUGACGAGUCAGCCGGUGACGAGGAGCCAGUCACGGUAGCCUCGGACUCGGUUGGCGAAGAAGGCCGACCCACCGGCGAAACCGGCAGAGCAGACGAAGCAGCUGGCGACUCCGGCAUCACAGACCGGGCCGAUGGCGAGCUCUGCAUAGUGGGCCGUGGCGCGGCCGGUGUCGCGGGCCGGUCCGCUGAUGAAGGCGACGUGAGGACCCGAGCCGCGGGCGAAGACGGCGUGACGGGCCGAGCCGCAGGCAAAGACGGCGUGACGGGCCGAGCCGCGGGCGACUCGGCGGCCGCUGGCGAAACGGACCGAGCAGUGGAGAUGCUCGGCGCGACGGGCUCGUCGGGUGACCAUGCAUGGGCACGCGAAUCGAUGCCAUGCAACAUAGGGCGAUCGACGUGCCCACCAGAAGACGACGAUGAUGAUGGUGAAUCCUCCAACAGCUCCAAACGAGCUCCACGUCCGGUUCCUGCACCAUGGUUAGGUAACAGCAAAGGAGAGUAUGCAACAUCAUCAAAUUGGUCAGAAGCAACAGAGGAUGAAUGCAGGGAUGGUGGUUCGACAGUGGACACAGGAAGGUUGGCAAAGGGAAAAACAUGCUCAUCAAACACGACGUCCCGAGAUAUAUAGACACGAUUAGUGGGAACAUGAAGACAUUUGUAACCUUUAUGAAGAGAGCUAUAGCCAAGAAAAACACACUUCUUAGAACGAAACUCAAACUUGCGCUUGUUAUAUGGACGAAGAUGCGGCCAGCAAGCACACCCAAAUACCUUGAGAAAGGUAUAAUCAGGUUGUUCAUUAAGGAGAACCUCAAUGGGAGUCUUCAUGUUUAAAACACGAGUAGGAGUACGGUUGAUGAGAAAGCAUGCAGUGGUGAAAGCAUCACUCCAAAACCGAAACGGAACAGAUGCAUGGGCCAAAAGAGUAAGACCAGCUUCAACAAUAUGACGAUGCUUACGUUCGACUGAACCAUUCUGCUGAUGUGUAUGUGGACAUGCUAAACGAUGAGCUAUCCCAAGCGACUGAAAGAAAGAGUUGAGGUUGCGAUACUCGCCCCCCCCCCCCAGUCUGACUGGACAUGAACAAUUUUGUGCUUGAGAAGACGUUCAACAUGUUUUUGAAACUGAACAAAAAUAUCAAACACAUCAGAUUUGCGUUUAAUAAGGUAAAGCCAGGUAAAGCGACUAUAAGCAUCAACGAAACUGAUAUAGUAAUUAUGACCACUGACAGAAGUCUGAGCAGGACCCCAUACAUCUGAAAACACAAGUUCUAAAGGAUGUUUCACCUCACGACUGAACUCCGAAAAAGGAAGUUGAUGACUCUUCCCCUGCUGACAAGCAUCACACACUGCUACAUCUUUAUGACUAGACAAACUAGGAAGCUCAUGACGACGCAAAAUAUGACGGACAAUAGGUGUGGCCGGGUGACCAAGACGAGCAUGCCACUGUGACGGAGAGACCCGAACUCCACUGAAAACACGAGCGACACCAGGAUGCUCCAGACGGUAGAGGCCCUGGCACAACCGCCCACUAAGAAGAAUGUCCCUCGUGCCCCGAUCCUUAAUAAAAAGAUCAAAAGGGUGAAAUUCACAAAGCACAUUAUUAUCACGUGUGAGUUUAGGAACUGAAAGAAGAUUACGGGUCACAGAUGGAACUCGAAGAACAUUGCGAAGCUGAAGACUCCUAUUGGCAUGUCUAGUGAGAAGAGAUGCUUGACCAAUAUGAGAGAUGUGCAUACCUGCUCCAUUGGUGGUGUGGAUCUUGUCGGAGCCAUGAUAGGGUUCACGAGUGUGAAGCUUCCCCGUCUCGCUGGUUAGAUGCUCUGUCGCCCCAGAGUCCAUGUACCAGUGUGGAUCGAUGGAGUAGGACUGAGUGUGUCCCUGUUGCUUCUGCGGCGCGGGACGAUCAGCCAUGGCGACCUGACGGGCAUUGUUGCGUGUAUCUUUGUCGUCAUUGCCAAGACCAAGGAAGCUUUGCUGGAAGCGCUUAUGACACUUGGAGGCCCAGUGCCCAUCGCGGCCACAAAGCUGACACACACGUGGACCGCCAGCCCCCGGUAAGGUCGCAGUAGGUGGGGGGGCCGAGGCGGGCGACGGUGGCAGCCCCAAGGGAGAUCGGGGUGAUGAAGAAGAGCGGCCACCCUUGGUGGCGGCGUUGGCCGAGAGGGAGCCAGUGCCCCUGGUGCGGCGAGUCUCGACCCGUUGCUCAGUGAGAAGGAGCCGAGAGAAAACCUCGUGUGCCAGCAUGGGUGUCGAGUUGCCCCGCUCGUUGAUGAUCUCGACUAAGGCAUCAUACUCCUCAUCAAGACCAUUGACAAUAAACGAGUUGAACUCGGAGUCGGUGAGGGGUUGUCCAAUGGAGGCCAAUGUGUCAGCGAGGCCCUUGACCUUGUUGUAUAACUCAGUGGCAGUGGAGUCAAGCUUCUGACACUCUCCAAGCUGACGACGGAGUGCAGAGACACGAGCCUGAGACUGCGCUGCAAAGGUGCGCUCAAGGAUGGUCCAGGCCUCAUGAGACGUCUUCAUGAAGACAACAAGGCCGGCAACUGCCGGCGAGAGCGACCCCUGGAUGGAGGAGAGGUUCGCCUGGUCCUGCCCCGUCCAGACGCGAUGGGCCGGAUUGUAGACCGGACCAUGCACGCUGUCUACCAGCGCGGGUGGGCAGGGAAGCGAUCCGUCGACGUAGCCUAGCAGGUAGUGACUCCCCAAGAGCGGGAGAACCUGCGCACGCCAGAAGAUGUAGUUGUCGGCGGAGAGCUUGAUGGUGAUGAGAUGACCGAAGUGAAACGGCGGCGGCGAAGACAAUCCCAUCGAGGAGGCUGCCUGGGGUGCAAACACCAUGGAGGCAGCCGGAGGCACCGAAGCCGAUGCGGGAGGAGGCGGGACCGCAGCCAGGGCGGGCGCCGCAAAGCUCGCGGCCGGUGCGGACGCCGCAAGGCCCGCGGCCGGGGCGGACGCCGCCAACCCCGCCAGCGGGGCAGUGUGAUCCGCUUGUGGCAGGAGCGGCGGGACGACGCCUGCGGAGUCCGCAGCGGACGGCGGCGCCGCGGUGUGGACCACGAGGUCACGCCCAAGCGAGGGCGCCAGCGGCGUGGAGAAGACGGAGCCGAUGCUCCUUGUCCCGAUCGGAGCCGGAACAGAGACGGCAUCGAGCGGGAGGUUGAGCAGAGCCACAAGAGAGGCCGGGAGGAAACCCGCAGCAGUGGAACCGGCGGUGGCGGCGCUCGACAUGGCGGCGGCGCGAUCGGUGGCGCGGCGGCGGCGGUGAAGGCGGCAGCGGCUGCGGCGGCGGUGCGGGUAUUAGGGUUUAGAAGCGGAAGCGAUCGUAACCUAGCGUGAUACCAUGUAAGACAAUAAGUUUUGGGGAACCAGCACACCCCUCUAGGAGUGGCUUAUCUCAUUAUAUAUAAUGAUUGUGUUACAAUAUGUACCAUAUACGUACAUAGGUACAGAAGCUAUACAUAGUCUAACACACUAUUGCUAUCAACAAUUGUCAAUGUCUUUCUUUUGUGACCGGCCUUUGGUUGAAUGAUGCGGGGAUGCCUGUGUGGCUGAGUAUUUUGUGAUGCUUCCAUAGUCACGGGUCUUUUAGGGGAAAAGUCAUUUUUAUUGAUCAAAUUCCACAGACAGUGGGAUACAAACUGGAUCAUGCGGCUGGCCAAGCCAUACAUAACGCCUCUAAACUAAAGUAUUAGCAAACUUUGCUAAACUAUGAGCUUCGCAAUUCACAGCUCACCCUUCAAAAGUGAAGUUACAUGAAAAAAAGUUGAUCUAGAUCUGAUUUCGCUUAUGAUUUCAUGGGUAGAUUCGAACAAGUUGAUCCGGGUCUUUUUUGAAACACCAACUACACGUCGCGCACAUAUAUACUAAAGACCAAGAGUUACAAAGGUUCAAGCUUGCGAGGUACUCCCUCCGUCCGGGUUUAUUAGGCCUAAAGACAACUUCUCUUAGACCAAGACACAUAAUAAUUUGCUCACAUAAAUUCUUCAAUUCCACUCUCAAUGCACUCUCUCACAUGCAUGCAGCCAAUGAAAAAGCACGCAUGAAGUGUAUUAAUUUCCCAUUCAUGGCACCAACAACAAUGGCUUUCAAGGCAACCAAUGAAAUGGUUGCACGCAUGCACCUUUCCAAAGCGAGGCCUUAUAAAAAGGGACAUGCUUAUGAUGCUAAGAGGCCUAAUAAACCCGGACGGAGGGAGUAGCUUGCAGCUCAAAGGAGGGUGGGCCAACAUGCAAAAAAGCUCAUGGGCUGUUGUUUUAAGGCCCGGGAGUAGACGGAUAAUGUGUAAAACUUCAUGGGUUGGACAGGUCACGGCCCAUUCGGCCUUGCUGAAGCUCCGCAGAGGUGAGAAUGACACCUCACUAUCAACAAAAACUUCGCCUUCAGUUGUUGAGGGGCUCGCUGGCCAUGCCUGGUUAGGUGAUGUUCAUGGAGCCCUCGGUUCAGCUGUGCUUGUGAAAUACGUAUAGCUUUGGUGCCCCCUCCACCGUGUGAAACUAUCCACUACUCUCGACCGCCUCUCUUGGAGAUUGACGUGUGAUGGAUGCUGCUCGAUCAGUUCCUGCUACCGAGUGUUGUUCAGCGGCUCCACCACUUUCCUGCAUUGACCUUGACAUGAAAACUUGGGCACCCUUCCCGGGUGGUUCUUCAUUACAUGCUGGACCUUGGCGAUAUUGGCACGACACGGUCUGCCGCACAAUGAUUAUUGCGCCCUCUGCGACCAAGCGUCGGAGACCAUGCAACACCUCAUUGGGCGCCGCCUGAUGACGGGGAUUUUCUCCUCUCAUGGGCCUCAAUCACCUAUGCAUCGCCUACCGGCCAUCGGAAAGGCCUCGCGUCACUGGUGAACCUCAUGGGUACUCACGAUAAAGGACUGUCUUAACCAGCAUACAUUAUCGUGUUGGUUUUUAGGAAUUGCUAUAUGUGUGCUCCGAAGGACUUUCAUAAAAAAAAAGUUUGCAUUUGCCAUUGCCCCCUAACGAACGUUCGCUGAAUAGCAUAUAACCGAUUAAAAAAAACUGAUGUCCGCGGUGCAGUGGUGUCCGUCUCAAAGUCUCUGGCCCACAACUGGCCGCGGGUCCCCUUCCAUGGAAGCGCGCCACCCUCGGCGGAACUCUCCCUCUCGUAGGCAACUGGGUACCUGAUUCUGAUUGUGGUGCGGUGGACGUGAUCUCUUUCUGUACUUGUGUGUUUCUAAUCAGCCCAGCCCUAAUCGAUCCCCCUGGCCAUUGUUCCAGGAUCGGAGUCCCUCUGGUACGUGAACAACAGAUCGAUUUAAUCCCAUCAAUCCAUGAUUCCAUGCAUGGCCCCGUUACGUUCUUCUUCCUGUCCUUGAUGAAGAUCGAUCCCGCGGAUCACGCCGUUAAUUUUCUUACCAAGAUUCCAAAUCCUGUUCUUGGCUGCGAAACAAUGCCGAUGAUCGUCAAUUUUCUGUCUGUUAACCUUGGUCUUCUUCUUCCGCAGGUCGCCGGAAGCUACCUAUCUAUCUAGAAAUCUGCCGCCGCCAUGGAGAGUGCCUUGCUGAGGCCACCCGCUCUGGGACUGGGAUCGCCCGCCGGGCUUGGAGGCGGCACGGCCAGCUGGAGGUCCCGGAGCGCCACGAGGCCUCCCUCCGUCGUCCCGGCGCUUCCGAAGCCGGCACGCUGGCGCCCCGUCAAGAUGUCAGCGAUCGCCGGCCACCGGCGAGAGCGAGACUUACACACCCAUCCGGUCACGCUCACGCCCGCGUCGGUGUUCGUCGGCGGCGGCGGCUUCGGACCAUCGUCGUUGUCGUCGCGCGGAUCGUCGUCGAGGGGCCGGCGUCGCCUCGUCGCCAGGGCCAUGUUCGAGAGCUUCACCGAGAAGGCCAUCAGGGUGAUCAUGCUGGCGCAGGAGGAGUCGCGGCGCCUCGGGCAUCACACGGUCGGCAGCGAGCAGAUCCUCCUGGGCCUCGUCGGCGAGGGCACCGGCAUCGCCGCCAAGGUGCUCAGGUCCGCGGGGCUGAACCUCAAGGACGCCCGCGCCGAGGUGGAGAAGGUCCUCGGGAGGGGCCCUGGCCUCAUCCCCAUCGAGAUCCCCUUCACCGCGUCCGCCAAGAAGGUGAUCGAGUCCUCAACUGAGGAAUCGCGCCAGCUAGGUAUGUUAUGCCCCGUUGCAAGUUCAUCCAAAGAAGAUGUUCUUGCGGUCGUCUUAGGUUAUCUUCUUUUUACUAGUGAAGUUCUUCUCUUGAUUUAAUGAUGAUGCACAGCAAUUUAUCAGCACAAACAAUUUUGUUACGAACUUAUUUGUUUCGUCCACACAUGGUUUUUCAUCUGCAGUAAAUUCCACCAAAAUUGCAGAUAUGUUUCAGUAGGCGUAAGAAUAUUUGUAUUUGGGUCAAAAAUUGUAGGCGUAAGAAGAUGGCUCUUGCUUGCGGUCGUCUUCGGUUAUCCUUUUGUUAUUUAGUAAAGUUCUUCUCUUGAUCUAAUGCUGAUGCACAGCAAUUUAUCAGCACAAACAAUUUUAUUCGGGGCUGUUUUGUUUUGUCCACACAUAUGGUUCUCAUUUUCAGUGUAAUUUCAACAAAAUUGCAGAUAUGUUUCGGUAGACAUAAGAAUAUUUGUAUUGCGUUCCAAAUUUGCAUCGCCGUGGAAAUAUUUCAGUGAACGUUAAUUUCAGCAGAAUUUAAACAGAACUCAAAAUUUCAUCCAAAUUUGGUUGUAUUUCAGUCAAAGUCAAGGGAGAAUUUUUGUCAUUCAGCCAAACUGAACCAAAAUAACAAUGUUGGUGAUUUCAGCGAUGAUCGACAUCGAGAAUAUGAAUCAUGGCCAGACAUUCCAUAGAUGCAAAGUACAGUAUGGUUAACUGUAUUCUCUCAUGAUAGAAUAUCAUUGGCGCAUUAUUAAGAAUCAGGAAUACUUAUUUAGUUCUCUUAUUAUCAUUGUUCUUUGUUGCUAUUGUUGCUACUGCACAUUAUAUAUUUUCUUUAAGAACUUAGACAACCGGUUAUUUUUCUCGCACUAAAUCGCCUUAAAACUGUCCAGGGCAUAACUACAUUGGAACGGAACACUUGCUUCUUGGGUUGAUCCGUGAGGAAGAUGGUGCGGCAGCCAUUGUACUUAAGAACUUUCAGGCUGAUCUCGGCGACAUUCGCAAUGAGGUAGAUUUACACUGAGAACUGUUAACCAAACGGUCAGUUUUUUUUACUUCCAUUCUCAGUUGGCAAACUCACAGCUAUGAGUUAUGUGUUGCUUCUUUUAGGUUAUCAAAAUGAUCACUGACAUGUCUGAAGAUCAAACUGUCGGUGCCGGCGUUGGGGGAGGAAGCAGUGGGGCCAAGAUGCCUACACUCGAGGAGUAUGGGACUAAUCUAACAAAAUUAGCACAGGAGGUACUGAACUAGGCCCAUCAUGUCAUAAUAAUAGCAGUAGUUCAGAAUGCAAGGAAAUAGAGUAAAUAACUUGUGAAUCUUGAUAUUUUCUGUAGGGGAAGCUCGAUCCCGUCGUCGGAAGGAACAAGCAGAUCGAGCGCGUGCUGCAGAUUUUGGGGAGACGAACAAAGAACAAUCCCUGCCUAAUUGGAGAACCCGGUGUUGGAAAGACGGCUAUCGCGGAAGGCCUUGCGCAGCGCAUUGCCACCGGGGAUGUGCCUGAAACAGUUGAAGGGAAAACGGUUUGUGUUCAUCACAUCUCUUGUGUUAAAUAUGCUUUUAUGUGCUGUUGAACUUUGAACCAUCUAUUUUAUGUCAUGUUGAACUUGGAACUAUGUAUGUACUGCCCUGUUGAACUUGGAACUAUGUAUGUACUGUCAUUCACUGUUUAUGUCAAGCAUUUGGACCUAUCUUCUAAAUUGUUGUGAUUUAUGUCAUGUACGAGACCAUAUUUGAGACUACAUGCUAUUUCUUAUUGUUUCGAAUUUUGUGUUAUGUUAUCGUAAAAAUAUAUUGUUGUCAUUCUAUCACCAUUUGUGUUUCCUGAUGCUUUUCUAGAAUAUUUAAUUAUUUUAUUGCUAUACAUUCAUUCAUAGUCAGAUUUCAUUUUUGAGUGAUGUAGAACAAGGUAUAACCUGGUAAUGUAGCUAUGCAAUUCCAAAGUUUGUCAUCCAAACAAGAUUCUGUAUUGAAAUCUUAGAGGCAUUUCAAGGGCCAAUUCGUUGGACAACCAAACAUGUGAAUUCGUAUUCGUCUCAUUUCAGUUUCCACACUGAUUUGGAAUUCAGGCCAAUUCAAUACGGAGCUCUCCAAUGGAGACAUCCAAACGGAGCCUAUAUGAUAUUGGCUCUGUGUACCUUUCCUUUUAGCUCUAUAUAUGUCUGGUACACAAAGCGAAGUCAGAUAUGAGGCAUGAUCAUCAUUGGCCAUGUUUUCUUUUGUUUGAGCCGUCCUGGAUUUUGUUUGACAUCACUAGGUGAGAUGAAUAAUGGAUCUUCUUCUUGUAACCUGUCAUGGUAGGUUAUCACCCUUGACAUGGGACUUCUUGUUGCCGGGACCAAAUACCGUGGAGAGUUCGAAGAAAGGUUGAAGAAACUGAUGGAAGAGAUCAAGCAGAAUGGAGACAUAAUACUUUUCCUUGAUGAAGUCCACACUCUGGUGGGAGCAGGAGCAGCAGAAGGUGCUAUUGACGCUGCUAACAUUCUGAAGCCAGCACUGGCGAGAGGCGAACUUCAGGUACAGAUAUGUACACUUUUCAUGCAGUGACUAGUAUAGUCUGAUUCAAGGAAAAUGUGAUAACUCAUAAAUCAAACAUUUUUGUUAGUGUCUUGGGGCCACUACAAUCGACGAAUACAGGAAGCACAUUGAGAAAGACCCUGCGCUGGAGAGGCGCUUCCAACCAGUGAAAGUUCCGGAGCCCACAGUUGAUGAGACCAUAGGAAUCCUCAAGGGGCUCCGGGAGCGAUACGAGAUCCACCACAAACUCCGAUAUAGCGACGAAGCGCUGAUCGCCGCUGCCCAGCUCUCAUACCAAUACAUCAGGUUUGUGAAUUCCAAGAGCGCUUGUACCAUCACAUACUGAGUAGUUGGUCAGAUCUGCUUGCAAACUUCAGUGUUGGAUAGGAGUAGUUCCCAGCAUACAACGAAGUUUCCUGACAGACUAUUUUGUUUGCAGUGAUCGUUUCCUCCCAGACAAAGCAAUCGACCUGGUUGAUGAGGCAGGAUCUCUUGUCAGGCUACGCCAUGCCAAGGUAGUACAAGAUGUUCUUGAAUGAUGAUGCGCCUAAACAUUUUUCCAAGUUGUUGCGUCUACAAGAUCUGAAUCUGAAUUUUGGGCUAUGAUGACAGCUACCUGACGAAGCUAAAGAUCUCGACAAGAAGCUCAAGGAAAUCACCAGACAGAAGAACGACGCCAUCCGCUCCCAGGAAUUCGAGAUGGUAAUCUUUUCGACUAUGAUUCAACAAGAGUCAACCUGAAAUGCACAUCUUAUAGGAGAACGUUAAUUCUCUGAAUGAUGUAGGCCGGAGAGCUUCGCAGGGAAGAGCUUGAGCUCAAGACCCAGAUCAUGUCGCUGGUGGACAAGAGCAAGGAGGUGAGCAAGGCGGAGAUGGAGUCGGGAGCAUCGGCUGGCCCGAUGGUGAUGGAGGCGGACAUCCAGCGCAUCGUCGCGUCGUGGACCAGCGUCCCCGUGGAGAAGGUCUCCGUGGACGAGUCCAGCCGGCUCCUCAAGAUGGAGGAGACCCUGCACGGGCGCGUCAUCGGCCAGGACGAGGCCGUCAGGGCCAUAGGCCGCGCCAUCCGCCGCGCGCGCGUCGGGCUCAGGAACCCCAACCGGCCCGUGGCCAGCUUCAUAUUCGCCGGCCCGACGGGCGUGGGCAAGUCGGAGCUGGCCAAGGCGCUGGCAACCAGCUAUUACGGCUCGGAGGAGGCCAUGGUCCGGCUGGACAUGAGCGAGUUCAUGGAGCGGCACACGGUGGCCAAGCUCAUUGGCUCCCCUCCCGGCUACGUUGGGUAUACGGAGGGCGGGCAGCUGACGGAGGCUGUCCGGCGGCGGCCCUACACCGUGGUCCUCCUAGACGAGAUCGAGAAGGCGCACCCGGACGUGUUCAACCUGAUGCUGCAGAUCAUGGAGGACGGCCGGCUCACAGACAGCAGGGGGCGGACGGUGGACUUCAAGAACACGCUCAUCAUCAUGACCUCCAACGUCGGCAGCAGCGUGAUCGAGAAGGGCGGGAAGCAGCUGGGCUUCGACCACGACGACGGUGAGGCCCGCAGCAGCUACGGCAGGAUCAAGAGCCUGGUGGACGAGGAGAUGAAGCAGUACUUCCGGCCAGAGUUCCUGAACCGGCUCGACGAGAUGAUCGUGUUCCGGCAGCUGACCAAGAUGGAGGUCAAGGAGAUCGCCGUUAUCAUGCUUGCGGAGGUGACCGGCCGGAUGAAGGCCAAGGGGAUCGAGCUGAUGGUGACAGAGAACUUCAAGGAUCUGGUCGUGGAGGAAGGCUACGACCCCAGCUACGGCGCCCGACCGCUGAGAAGGGCCAUCAUGAGGCUGCUCGAGGACAAGCUCGCGGACAAGAUGCUCGCCGAGGAUGUCAAGGAGGGAGACUAUGUGAUCAUCGACGCCGACCCGAUGGGUAACGUCGCCGUCCUUAGCAGGCACAGCGACUCGCCGGAGGACCAGCCGCUGGCGUUUCCUGCCUAGCUAGUACAGUUUAAUCAAGCAGUUCAUUUUUUGUUUUUAUAUAUUUUGUACUAUAUAGGGGAUAAAGCAGAUGCAUAGUUAAGUUUCAGAUGCCGGCCAUGUUUACCAUUUUGGUAAGCGGUGAAUGAAAGAGAGAUCUCCUGAUUACUGAUGCUCGGCAAACACUGGCCAUUUGGCAAGCAAUACAAGACAAUGGGAUCAAACUUCGAUGAUUUUCCUUCGAUCACCGGAAAAUCAUAUUGCAACUUGACAGGGUCGAUAAUAUAUUACUUCUAUACAAAAUGAUGAUACUACUAUAGUUCUCCAAUGGCACUGCCAAAGGAGGCUAUCCAAAUAAUAUAGGCCAACCAAAAGAACCCAGGAAAGUACCUGUACUAUAUACCUUCCAUACCACCACAUCAGUAGCUCACGCAUGUUAAGAAGGUACAGAGGGCAACCCGCCGAUUAGGUUGGACCUAGACCUCGCCUCUUUUGCUUCGGAUUGGGACUUGACGCUUCCUUAAAAGCUGAUGGGCAAAUGGUGUUUAUGCCACAGCUGCCGCAUUUGGGCCUCAGCGGAGUACAGAUUGUCUGACCAAAUCCGACCUACAUGAGAUUUUCAGUUCCAACGUAAGACAAGCAUUUCUGGGAACUACGAAGGUAUAAUCCAAACUUGUUCUGCUCGAUCCCCACCAAAAAAAGAAGAGCCUGUAGUUACUUGGAAAUAGGAAAGAAAACAUUCCCUGUAACCAAAGUUGAACCAAUUCAGUGGAGCAUUACCAGUAGCGGGUUUAUUGGCUCCCACUCAUCCUUGGGCAGCCACUUCUCAAGAGACAUCCUUGUCUGUUCUGGUGUAGUAGUUUUCUGUGAAAAAAUAAAUAAAAAACCAAUGGUAAAUAUAACUUGUUUCCAAGCAGAAAGAGUAGACAAUACGAACUUAACAAACAACCUGCUUUGUUCCUUCUCGGAAAACCCAUCCAAGACGGUUGGAAAUGCGAUGCACAUGAGUGUCCACACAGAUUCCUUGAGUAUUCUUCCAUGCGAUGCUCAUCACCUGUUUCGUGAAAAUAGCUAUGAAGAAACUUAAGUUUAAAUUCCAACUAUGGAUUAUAUGAUUAGUAGAUAAAUUACCAGAUGAGCCAUUUUAGGGCCAACUCCUUUCAGAGCAAGCAGAUCAGUCAAAGUAUCUGGAAUAUCUCCUCCAAAUCGCUCAAGGCAAAUUCUGGAAGCUUCUUUUAUGAAUUGGGCCUUCCUCUGAUAGAAUCCAACCUGAUUAAAUUAUGCACAGUACUGUAUAAAUAGUUGACCUCAAUAGCUUAACGUAAGCGGUGCAAAGAUGACAGUAGAAGCUAACAAAACCGUUAAGGCGCUUGCCUCCGACUAGCUAAUUUAGCAACAAUUGCAAUUACCCACACGAGAUGGUAACAAAGUCUAAAGCAGGGUUAUACGGGUCUAGUCUGUUAUCUAUUGGCAUUAUGCCAAUGAUGUGACAAUAAAAGUAGAUGAUCAAAUUCUAUUUUCAUGUUCAUAGCUUCAGAUACUAAUAAAGUAACAGUUACCGUUUAAACUAAAUCAGGAAGGUGCCAUUACUUUUGAUCCUAAUUAAGCAAAAGGCUGGCAACUUACAGGUUUGAUAAGAUUUGCCAGUGUGGCCUCAUCUGUUCUGACGAUAGCAUCAGGGUCAAGUAAACCGUUCUCACCGAGACGCUCCACAGCAGCUGAUAACAAUUCAGUCCAAAAUACAAUCAGCAUUCGUCUGAAAGAGAAACGCUACUAAGUACAGUUACAGCUAGGGAAAAUAAUUAAGUAGAGUCAGACUUUUUCAUGACAAGAUUACCUCAAUUCAGUGGAAUAUGUAGUCAUGUAAAUAUUGUAAUUUAUUUUGGUUCUUUAAUAGAAAAUAUACCGUAGGGGGCUCCCCUACUGUUCAGUGGUUAAAAAAUCAAUUCAGUGGACAAACAACUUGAAAAUCCACCUCAAGUUCGGAAAUCUGAACCGCCAUUCACUAAUCUAUAUUAACACCAUAUAAAAGAUUCCUACUAAAUUCAAAUUCAUAUUGCAGUAAAAAAAACAAAUUUGUAUAGAAUAAUAAAAGAGCUCACAGGUGUAAGCAACUAAGCAUGCUCAAAUCUUCCACAGGGCCCCUCUUCAACCAACAGUAUAGCACAUUUAUUAAUGGACCAUAAUGGUUAGAUCCAUGCAAGUAUUUUAUACCAACAAGGGAUGAGCAAACCAGACAAACAAUACAAUCAUUGUUUUCUGUUAAUUGCUUACAAACUCAUGUUUCUAACAAUUGUCAAAACAGGGUGAAAUUACAUGUUUCUGGAAAGAUGGGGAGAGGAUAAGAGACUAGUGUGUAUUCCAGCAAUGCUUUGGACUUGCUGUUGAACAUCUAUGUAAGAACGCCGUCACAUUUGAACGAUUUUCAGCAGAACAUGGAUUAGUACCAGCUUCAGCAUUCACAGGCUAUCACUAAUAGGCAUGAAAUGAUAAGUUGAGUCAAGUUCCACAAUGUACUAUACUCCGAGCAGUAAUUGCAAGAGAAUUAAGUCUCAGAUGCAUAUGCUGAGGUCAUAAUUUCACAGCCGUGGAAACUGAACUGAGUGAUUUGAACUGUCGAGCGUUUUCAACAAUCGAUUCUAAGUGAACCACUGAUUCAGUUACUUUCAGUUCCAUACAAAAUUGGAAGAUACAUAUAGUAAUAACCAAUUGCCAAAAAAAAAAAUCCUAAGGCAUACCAUGCGUAACUUCAUCUUUUGUCUGGCUUGACAUCAUUGUUGAUAUAAGAACUGCAAACCUUCUUUCCUGCACAGGAAGAAAUGUAGCUUAUGGUUUGUUAACUAAUGAGGAUCAAUAGUGUUGCAUAGCAUCAUUCGAUGCAACUGGAGCCAGUGGAAAACAAAUAUUAGAUCCACCUAAAAAAAAUAGCAGAUCAAUGUGCAAAACUUUGUUUACAACAAAUAUGCAGUAAUACGGUAUCAACCGAAAAUUAGUGGAUCAAUAGGCCCAAAUCCAUGGCCAAUCUGCAAUCCAUUAGCCAUGAACCCAUGUACAGACUGCAUUUUCUGCCUAGCUAGUAAACAUUUCAAAUGGUAACAUAGCACAAGGAAAUUAGGGGAAUUUGCAAAUUACAUAAAACCCACACUCUCCCUAUGUAUGACAUAUUAAGCCAAAGAGGAUCACAUCCUCGUGUACUGUUCAUAGUAAAUGGACUUUGUAAACUACAAUUUUGAAUCUGAACAACUCUCUGACGAAUACCUUGGGUGGAAGAAGAGAACCAGCCUUUUCACAGCCCUUUGUAUCUACGGGGGCCUGGCCAGAUAACCUAAUGUUUUUAAUACCUGCAAGAACUGCUUCCCAAUUUUCUGGAGCUGCAACUACACACAUUACUAUGUUAGCUUCUUGAUCAGCAAAUGGACAUGAGGAUCAACACAUUUACAUGUAGGAGCAAAAACUCUUAAUAGAGUAGUCAAAAUAUCUGGUUUUGACACAAUUGCUUCGCAUGGUGCAACAUUUAACUAUUCAAGUGGUACUGGUACGUAUGUAAUGAUCUGAAGUCAGGAAAAGUGGACCGAAUGUAUUCAAGAGCCUAAGUUGAAAGAAUUUGAACUCCGUGAAAAAUUAGGCAUCCCAAUAAAGAUGUCUGCGGGAAUCAAAAGGCCAGAAUGUACGAGCAACAUGUAUGGUUAAAUUGAUCCCACAAAAGAAUGUAAGCACUACAUGGACAAAAUUAUGUAAUUCACUAUCAAAAAUUGAGGAAAUAUUGUGGAUACUGAUUAUAUAGGUUUGACUUGAUAUCAGGUUAUGUUUGAAGCAGAAGCUGCGUCUGUCUAUUUUAAAGAUCAUCAUUUUGGUAACAUGGGCCAUCUGGAACACUAGAAAUGAUUUAUUUCUAAAGGUCUUCAGCCAAAUCUAUGCAGAUGCAGGAAUAGAUUUAAGGAGGAAAUGAGAUUGCUUAUUCACACAGCUAAAAGGAAAGCAUACUCAGGGCUGCGACCUUGGGUUGAGGCAUUCAUCUGACUUGGUGCAUUCUAGUAAAGGGCUCUGCCUUGUGUUAGUUUUAUUUUAUUUUAUGUUUCCUGUACAUCCUUCUAAACUUAAAAUAUAAAUACAUGCAGGAAGGAAAUCUACUGUCUUCCUCAAAAAAAAAUCAGGUUGCAAGAACAGAAAUCAUCUAUAGUAAGAAUAACAGCGACAUCAUCUCAAAAAAAAGAAUAACAUCAAUAUAAUUUGGACAAAUAUGACAUAAUUUAUCUUUCCUGUUAAUCUUCUGACGUCUAAUUACCUUCCACUUUCACAACAGAUGAAACUCUGAUCUUUUUCUCCAACCUGACUGAAGACGUGAAAGGGUAAGCUUUUCAUAGGACAUAAGGGCAAAAUUUACACCUACAGUAAAAUGACACAUGCAGAUUUACAACAAGAUUAACCAUAUGCAGGAAACCCAAAAGGGGGAUUACUGCACAGAAUAAUGAUAACAAGCCACGCUUGACGAAACAAAUGCAAACAUGCAACAAUUGACUCUUAACAUUCAUAAUAGUCCUCAAUUUAAGCACAUGGUACAUGUGGAGCAAUUGAUUGACGAACAAUGAUUAUGGAUCAAACCAUUUAGAUGAAACAUCGAAACUUACCUGGUGAACUGUUCUUAUUUGAUGAUGCUGGUACCCUCUUCGUAGAUACUGAUGUUUUUGCCUCGGUCUUUACAUAUCGAAAAUCAUCGAUGUCAGGAACAGCACCAACCUGCAUAUGUGUAAUAUUUUCUUCAGCGGGACCUGAAUUGGACCAAAAAACCAAUAGUAGAAAAGGAAGCACUGCUAAACUGAGAGCACGAAUGCACUGAAAGGGUUAAAGUGCAGCUGUACAAUUACAUCUCAGCAUAACCGAAUAGUCAAGCGCACAGUAAUUUAAACCAAGUCCAGGAAGAAGAAUUAGUGAUGCACAAUGCUUCAUUUUUAAUAGGAAGAGAAACAUUAUUAUAGUUAGUCAGCAUAUACCUGCUUCUUAGGAUGCUCCUCCUUUACCUCAAGCACCCGGUUCAGCCUUUUCCUCUCCACAGAAUUCAUUUCAGAUUUGGAGUAGUCAAAAGAAACACUGGGUUCACACUUCACUUCCUUUACACCUGAAAAGGCACCAGUCAUGCUUUAGACAAAACAAGUACUCCCUCCGUUCCUAAAUAUAAGUCUUUGUAGAGAUUUCACUAUAAACUACAUACGGAUCUAUAUAGAUGCAUUUUAAGUGUGGAUCCGUUCAUUUUGCUCCGUAUGUAGUCCACCUAGUGAAAUCUCUACAAAGACUUACAUUUAGGAACGGAGGGAGUAAUAGUAAACACACUAUGAAAACAAGAAUGCGGAAUUUAACAGUCAUAGAUAUGACUGAAUGGAAAGUAUCGAGUCGUAGCUGAAGUGAACCGAUGCAUAACAAAAUUUUGGUCAUCUUAUUUAUGAAAGGAAAAAAGAAAAUAUUUUGGAUCGUAUUUAUGUCUUGAAAUUAGAAGGUUCAGGCAACAUGAACAUACAGAAAUAAGUGAGAUAACUCAUCUAAAAAAUGUUUUCCUUAAGGGGGUUACUGCACAGAAUAAUGUACAAGCCACGCUUGAAGAAACAAACACAAACAUGCAACAACUGACUCUUAACAUUCAUAAUAGUCCUUGAGCAAUGCCAAAAUAUAAGCGGAUGGUACAUGUAGAGCAAUUUAUUGACGAACUAUGAUAGAAUUUAGCAUUCAUAAUAGUCCUUAAGCAAUGCAAAAUAAAAGCACAUGGUACAUGUAGAGCAAUUGAUUGACGAACUAUGAUUAUCGAUCAAACCAUUUAGAGGAAACAUCAAAACUUACCUGGUGAACUGUUCUUAUUUGAUGAUGCUGAUACCCUCUUUGCAGUUACUGACGUUUCUGCCUCAGUCUUUACAUAUCGAAAAUCUUCAAUGUCAGGAACAAUACUAACCUGCAUAUGUGUAAAUAUUUUUCUUCAGUGGGACAUGAAUUGGACCAAAAACCAAUAGUAGAAAAGGAAGCACUGCUAAACUGACAGCACGAACGCACAAAUGCACUGAAAGGGUUAAACUGCAGUUGUGCAAUUACAAUCUCAGAAUAAUUGAACACUCAAGCGGACAGUAAUUUAAACCAAGAAUUUGAGAAAUCCAGAAAGAAAUCGAAAGAUGCACAAUGCUUCCUUUUUAAUAUGAAGAAAAACGUUAUUAUAGUUAGUCAGCAGAUACCUGCUUCUUAGGAAGCUCCUCCUUUACUUCAAGCACCCGGUUCAGCCUUUUCCUCUUGACAGAAUUCAUUUCAGACUUGGAGUAGUCAAAAGAAACACCGGGUUCAAACUUCACUUCCCUUACAGCUGAAAAUGCAUCAAUUCAUGCUUUACAGAAAACGAAUAAUGAUACCAAAGAAACUUCGGAAUUAAGACAUGUAGAUUUUAACAGUCGUAGAUAUGACUAAGAAUGGAAAGCACUGAGUCGUGGUUGAAGUGAAUUGGUGCGUAGUUAGGCUGAAAAAAUGUUAGUGAUCAUACUUGAGCUUUUCUUCUUAUCAAUAAGAAGAUAAAUGACAAGCAAACUUCUUCCAUUUUAUGGAAGGAAAAAAUAAUCAAUUUUGGAUCGCGUUUAUGCGUUGAAAUUAAAGCUUCAGCCUUGAGGCAACAUGGACAUACAUAAACAAGUGAGACAACACAUCGGAAAAAUUGUUUUCCUUACAUUCAACAAACAAGCACAUGAUAGCUAAAAGACUAUGAUGCAUAAGAACAAGCUUUUAGUGAUAAGAAAAUAAAAUGGUACCCGGGUGGGGUUGCUUCCAUCUUUUCUAGCAUUUCCAGAAAAAGCCAUGCCAGGGGAGAAAGGACUGAAACUUUGCGACUUUGCAAACAUAUUUUACACAAAUUAAAAGCGUAUGGCAUCUUUUUAACAUAUUUUGGAUCGUAUUUAUGUCUUCAAAUUAAAAGGUUCAGGCAACAUGAAAAUACAGAAUUAACUCAUCUACGCAAUGUCUUCCUUACAUUCUUUUUUAAGGAACCUUACAUUCAACAAACAAGCACAUGAUUACUAAAAGUGUAUGACCCACGGGAAUAUCACCGAAUCUUCAAGAGAGCACACUGAUUUCACAUAAUUUGUCAAGCGAAAUAAACAAUUCCGGCCGCUGAGCUUUUAGUGAUAAAAAAAAUGUUUUGGGCGGGUGGGGUCGCUUCCAACUUUAGUACUAGCAUUUCAAGAAAUAACCAACUGAAUGUACAAGUAUUUCCAUAAUACUAGCAGCAAAUGGGGUAUGGAAAUACACAGGCACAAAACUGAAUUUAAAAGGGGGGAAAGGAGGCGAACUUUGAACUGGGUUGAGCUCCGGGCGGGAUGCGCGGAUGAGCCUGGAGGCGGGGCGCGAGCUGGACAUGGAGGAGAUCGACGAGAAGAGGCCAAUGCGGUGCGGGAGGAGAUGGAAUUGGAAGCGCAUGGCCGGCUGGUGCGCGCCACUGCGUUAGGGUUUUAUGAGCAACGGGAGGGAGGGACAGGGGUCGUGUUCCAACUUUUCCCCUGUCUUGGUUUUGGUGGGUGGGGUCUUCCCCUGCGGGCUGCGGCGAGUGGCGCUCCACGGCGAUGCGUGGCUUCCUUUUUGCGGCGGCCAGGUUUGUCUCGUGGGAUACUGCAUCGCCUCUCGUAAUCGCUUGUUUGUUGGCCUUUGACUGGAAUCCUAUCGUGUUAAGUGAUUAAACUAAUUACAAAUAAUAAAGUGUUACUCCCAUGUAUCUAGACGAAUCUAAGACAAGAAUUUUGGGACGGAGGGAGUACAUCAAAGGUGGACAGUGGUAUCCCAAGCCCACUAAGAUUCAAGUCCUAGUGCUUGCAUUUAUUCUGAAUUUAUUUCAGGAUUUCCGGCGAUACAUUUUCAGUGGUAGGAGACGUGACUUCGUAAAAUCUAAAGAUGAUAUGUCGGCUCAGUCUCUUCAAGGUGUUCAUAGGGAUAGGGUGUGUGUGGGUGCGUUCAUAGGGAUGAGCGUAGCCUAUUCCGUCUAAAGUCGGACGGCCUCGUCCCCUCAAAGCGUAUCCACACACUCAAGAAGGAUCCGGCAGCGCCCACGGUCGUCGGGCACGUCCUCGUCCACCUUGAAGGUGGAGUGCUCCCCUUGGACGAGGAGGGACAGAGGCCGCCCCUGCUCAUCGUUGUGACGGGCGAUGAGUUCACCACGCAAAUGGAGAAGGUGAUGUGGCGGUCCCUGGCCGGCCGAGGUAUGGCAGUCAUCCCAUCCUUGCAACCGCGACAUCCACGGAUGCAUCCGCGUUAAGAAGGAGGUGUCGUCCCCUCCGCUCAAUCGCGACGUCCAGAUCGAACGCCACAUGAAGGAGGAGCCACUAUUGUUGCCAGCGGGGCAACCAAUGGUGGUGGUCGGCCCUCCCCGUCGUCGUCUAAGACACCCCCGCACCUCUACUACUACCUCGAGGGCGUGGGUCCGCCUCCUCGUCCAAAGUCGUGGCCAAGGCGUGCAUGAAGCGUUCGUGAAGAACUAGGUGGCGUUGGCACGGUGCUUGCGGAGGCUUGGGCCAUCGACCGGUCCAAGACCACCGAUUAGACGGACGUCCGUCAAUGACACCGACUCAAUGACCAGCUCCUAAAAGGUGGGUCCGACGGAGUCCGCCCGUGCCUCUUCAUCCGAGUCGCCGAAGACAAGUGAUGCAAAGGAGUGAAGGAUGCGACAGAGCAUCUGCACCACGAGCGCACGACGGUGGCCGGGUAAGGAUGCUUCAACGCCAAUAACGACGGGGAUGUCGGUGGCCAUGCUUAGGAAGUCACCUUCAGGUACCUGGCCUAGUUUAGUUAGCUUUUAGUUUGAACUUGUUAAAUUCUGUUUGGUUGUAAAUAUAGUUGUUUGUGCUUGUUUCAAUGGGUUGGAAAUUGCACAGGUUUCACUAGUCAAAUCAAAGACCUAAAAUUAGUGACCGGGUCCGUUGGGAGUAGUGGAAGAUUUUUAGAGCCAACCACAAUACAUUAUAUUUUUAGUUAGACAACCACAAUAAUACAUUGUCUCUAGAUAUUGUAUAUCUAUAAAAUGAUGAUGCAUUUCAACGUUGUGUUAUGAUUGUUAUGAUUCCAACAUUGGGGUGCUUGGUUGCUUAACCAUCUGAUUAAUUUCAUCUCUUCCUGUCUGCCUGAUGUGCAAAAUCCGACGAUAAUAAAGAACUAAGAGAAGUGAUUCCAGUACAGCUAGCCCACAAAAAAUGUAACCACAUCUGCAAACAGGGAUUAUGAUGACCAGCAUUCCAACCACAUUUGCAAAUCGAUCUCCAUAAACAUGAUCAAUGAAUUUAUUAAAAGUGCACUACUAGAAAGAUCAACUAUGCGCUUGAUCUAAGGAGAGCCUACCAUGCAAAACCACAGCAAUCCACACGACAGGCAGAAAACAAACACUCAGCAGCAU
rnacentral:lncRNA from 1 species